GGCUGGAUAGCUCAGUUGGUAGAGCACUGGAAUGGCAAUCGGGAGGUCGCAGGUUCAAACCCUGCUCCAGUCA
rnacentral:tRNA from 1 species